UCACUCUUGUUUCUCUUCAGAUCGUACAAAUCUUUCGCCUUUUACAAAGAUUUCCGUGGAGAGGAACAACAAGAGUAUAUCCCAUUUUUUUGUCCCUGCGUUUGUGGGGU
rnacentral:snRNA from 1 species